rnacentral:rRNA from 1 species
CCCUUAGAGUUUGAUCCUGGCUCAGAUUGAACGCUGGCGGCAUGCCUUACACAUGCAAGUCGAACGGCAGCACGGGAGCAAUCCUGGUGGCGAGUGGCGAACGGGUGAGUAAUAUAUCGGAACGUGCCCAGUCGUGGGGGAUAACGUAGCGAAAGCUACGCUAAUACCGCAUACGAUCUACGGAUGAAAGCGGGGGAUCGCAAGACCUCGCGCGAUUGGAGCGGCCGAUAUCAGAUUAGCUAGUUGGUGGGGUAAAAGCCCACCAAGGCGACGAUCUGUAGCUGGUCUGAGAGGACGACCAGCCACACUGGGACUGAGACACGGCCCAGACUCCUACGGGAGGCAGCAGUGGGGAAUUUUGGACAAUGGGCAAAAGCCUGAUCCAGCAAUGCCGCGUGCAGGACGAAGGCCUUCGGGUUGUAAACUGCUUUUGUACGGAACGAAACGGUCUCUUCUAAUACAGGGGGCUAAUGACGGUACCGUAAGAAUAAGCACCGGCUAACUACGUGCCAGCAGCCGCGGUAAUACGUAGGGUGCAAGCGUUAAUCGGAAUUACUGGGCGUAAAGCGUGCGCAGGCGGUUCGUUGUGUCCGGUGUGAAAGCCCCGAGCUUAACUUGGGAAUGGCAUUGGAAACUGGCGAGCUGGAGUGUG